rnacentral:rRNA from 1 species
UACGAAGGGUGCAAGCGUUACUCGGAAUUACUGGGCGUAAAGCGUGCGUAGGUGGUGAGUUAAGUCUGAUGUGAAAUCCCGGGCUCAACCUGGGAAUGGCAUUGGAUACUGGCUCGCUAGAGUGCGGUAGAGGGUGGUGGAAUUCCCGGUGUAGCAGUGAAAUGCGUAGAGAUCGGGAGGAACAUCUGUGGCGAAGGCGGCCACCUGGACCAACACUGACACUGAGGCACGAAAGCGUGGGGAGCAAACAGG